rnacentral:rRNA from 1 species
ACAGAGGGUGCAAGCGUUAAUCGGAAUUACUGGGCGUAAAGCGUGCGUAGACGGUUACAUAAGUCGGGUGUGAAAGCCCCGGGCUCAACCUGGGAAUUGCAUUCGAGACUGCGUAGCUAGGGUGCGGAAGAGGGAAGCGGAAUUUCCGGUGUAGCGGUGAAAUGCGUAGAUAUCGGAAGGAACACCAGUGGCGAAAGCGGCUUCCUGGUCCAGCACCGACGUUCAGGCACGAAAGCGUGGGGAGCAAACAGG